rnacentral:rRNA from 1 species
GAUGAACGCUGGCGGCGUGCCUAACACAUGCAAGUCGAGCGGACCUGAUUGAGUGAUUAGCUUGCUAUGAACUCAUGACUGGUUAGCGGCGGACGGGUGAGUAACGCGUGGGUAACCUGCCUCAUACAGGGGGAUAGCAGUUGGAAACGACUGGUAAUACCGCAUAAGCGCACAGUACCGCAUGGUACAGUGUGAAAAACUCCGGUGGUAUGAGAUGGACCCGCGUCCGAUUAGCUGGUUGGUGAGGUAACGGCCCACCAAGGCGACGAUCAGUAGCCGACCUGAGAGGGUGACCGGCCACAUUGGGACUGAGACACGGCCCAAACUCC